AGUGAACGCUGGCGGCGUGCCUAAUACAUGCAAGUCGAACGGAGUGGCGCACGGGUGAGUAAUAUAUAGCUAAUCUGCCCCUUGCUGGAGGACAACAGUUAGAAAUGCCUGCUAAUACUCCAUAGCAAGUGAUGAGAACAUAUCGUAUCAGCAAGUCGGUGGGGUAACGGCCUACCGAGGCUAUGACGCGUAACUGGUCUGAGAGGAUGAUCAGAGACAUUGGAACUGAGACACAGUGCGAACUCCUACGGGAUGGAGCAGUAGGGAAUAUAGCGAAGUGGGGGAAACGCUGACGCAGUAACGCCGGGAGGAGGAUGACACUUGUCGGAGCGUAAACUCCUUUUGUUAGGGAAGCGGUACCUAACCAGAAAGCCACGGCUAACUACGUGCCAGCAGCCGCGGUAAUAC
rnacentral:rRNA from 1 species